rnacentral:rRNA from 1 species
AGGGUUUGAUCCUGGCCCAGGACUAACGCUAGCGGCGUGCAUUAGGUAUGCAAGUGGAACGGUCUGUCGCAAGACAGGCAGUCGCGAACGGCUGAGUAACACGUAAGAACUUACCCCUUGGUGGGGAAUACCCAUCCGAAAGGAUGGCUAAUACCGCAUGAGGUGCUUUGCAUCAAAGGGCGUAACUGCCCGCCGAGGGAGAGGCUUGCGGCCUAUCAGCUUGUUGGUAGGGUAACGGCCUACCAAGGCUAUGACGGGUAGGGGACGUGAGAGCGUGCACCCCCAGAAUGGCACUGAGAUACGGGCCAUACACCUACGGGUGGCGCAACCGGGAAUCGUGCGCAAUGGGCGAAAGCCUGACGCCGCGACGCCGCGUGAGGGAUGAAGGUCUUUGGAUCGUAAACCUCUUUUGCCAGUUGGGAGACCAGCUGGCGAAUAAGCAUCGGCUAACUUCGUGCCAGCAGCAGCGGUAAUACGUAGGAUGCAAGCGUUGUCCGGAUUUAUUGGGCGUAAAGCGUCUGUAGGCGUUUUGGAAAGUCAUUCUUUAAAGCCCGGGGCUUAACCUCGGAGAUGGGAAUGAUACUUCCAGAAUUGAAGUACUUCGGGGCUACUGGAACUUAACAUGUAGGAGUGAAAUCCGUUGAUAUGUUAAGGAACACCGAGGGCGAAGGCAGGUAGCUAGGGGUAUUUUGACGCUGAGAGACGAAAGCUAGGGGAGCGAAAGGGAUUAGAGACCCCUGUAGUCCUAGCAGUAAACGAUGCUCGCUAGGGAUAGGUCCCGCUUUUUUCUUAACCCUUAUAUACAAAAGCUCUGCCAACAUAUUUUUUUAGUGGCUUUAGUAUAUGAGUUGUUUGUUGAGGAAAAAGCGGGAUCUGUCUCGUAAGCUAACGCGUUAAGCGAGCCGCCUGGGGAGUACGAGCGCAAGCUUAAAACUCAAAGGAAUUGACGGGGACCCGCACAACCAGUGGAGCAUGUGGUUUAAUUCGAGACGAACCGAAGAACCUUACCUGGGCUUGACAUUCUAGGGUGUUAGUCUUCUAGAGAUAGAAGGCGAUCCUUGAUUUUUCAUGGAACCUAGAACAGGUACUGCAUGGCUGUCGUCAGCUCGUGCCGUGGGGUGUUCCCUUCAGUGGGGUAACGAGCGCAACCCCUGUCCUGUGUUAAAUGUCCACAGGAGACUCUCCGAACUUGUUUCGGGGGGAAGCGGGGACGACGUCAAGUCAGCAUGGUCCUCAUGUCCAGGGCUACACACAUGCUACAAUGGAGCCGACAGAGGGUUGCCAAGUGGUAACACGGAGCUAAUCCCAAAAACGGCUUCUCAGUGGGGAUUGAGGGCUGCAACCUGCCCUCAUGAACGCGGAAUUGGUAGUAAUCGCGAAUCAGCAAAGUCGCGGUGAAUACGUUCUCGGGUCUUGUACACACCGCCCGUCAAGUCAGCAAAGUUGGGGGCACCCGAACCUCGAGUGAAUCGGGGGAAGGUGAAACCAGCGAUGAGGAUUAAGUCGUAACAAGGUAUCCGUU